rnacentral:rRNA from 1 species
AGUGAACGCUGGCGGCGUGCCUAAUACAUGCAAGUCGAACGGGGUGGCGCGCGGGUGAGUAAUGUAUAGCUAAUCUGCCCUCCACUAGAGGACAACAGUUGGAAACGACGGCUAAUACUCUAUAGUGUAGGAUGAGGUUAUAUUGUAUCAGCUAGUUGGUGAGGUAAUGGCUCACCAAGGAUAUGACGCAUAACUGGUCUGAGAGGAUGAUCAGUCACACUUGAACGGAGACACGGUCCAGACUCCUACGGGAGGCAGCAGUAGGGAAUAUUGCUCAAUGGGGGGAACCCUGAAGCAGCAACGCCGCGUUGAGGAUGACACUUUUCGGAGCGUAAACUCCUUUUGUUAGGGAAGCGGUACCUAACGAAUAAGCACCGGCUAACUCCGUGCCAGCAGCCGCGGUAAUAC